CCUACGGGAGGCAGCAGUGGGGAAUAUUGGGCAAUGGGCGCAAGCCUGACCCAGCAACGCCGCGUGAAGGAAGAAGGCCUUCGGGUUGUAAACUUCUUUUGUCAGGGACGAAGCAAGUGACGGUACCUGACGAAUAAGUUACCGCUAACUCCGGGCCAGCAGCCGGGGUAAUACGUAGGUGGCAAGCGUUAACCGGAUUGAUUGGGUGCAAAGGGCGGGUAGGCGGGAAGUCAAGUCCGAGGUGAAAACUACGGGCUCAACCCAUAGACUGCAUUUGAAACUGUAAGUCUUGAGUGUUGGAGAGGCAAGCGGAAUUCCGGGUGUAGCGGUGAAAUGCGUAGAUAUACGGAGGAACACCAGUGGCGAAGGCGGAUGGCUGGACAGUAACUGACGCUGAGGAGCGAAAGCGUGGGGAGCAAACAGGAUUAGAUACCCUAGUAGUC
rnacentral:rRNA from 1 species